GCGCCGGUGUAGAAAUUGGUAGACUACUGCGCUUGAGGUGCGUAGGCCGUAAUUGGCGUGGAGGUUCGAGUCCUCUCCGGCGCA
rnacentral:tRNA from 1 species